UACAGAGGGUGCGAGCGUUGUUCGGAAUUACUGGGCGUAAAGCGCGCGCAGGCGGCCUUUUAAGUCUCGUGGUGAAAUGCCGGGGCUCAACCCCGUGCCCGCCGGAGAUACUGGGAAGCUGGAGACGAGUAGAGGCAAGCGGAAUUCCGGGUGUAGCGGUGGAAUGCGUAGAGAUCCGGAAGAACACCGGAGGCGAAGGCGGCUUGCUGGGCUCAUGUCUGACGCUGAGGCGCGAAAGCGUGGGGAGCGAACAGG
rnacentral:rRNA from 1 species